GACGAACGCUGGCGGCGCGCCUAACACAUGCAAGUCGAACGAGCGAGAGAGAGCUUGCUUUCUCAAGCGAGUGGCGAACGGGUGAGUAACGCGUGAGGAACCUGCCUCAAAGAGGGGGACAACAGUUGGAAACGACUGCUAAUACCGCAUAAGCCCACGGCUCGGCAUCGAGCAGAGGGAAAAGGAGCAAUCCGCUUUGAGAUGGCCUCGCGUCCGAUUAGCUAGUUGGUGAGGUAAUGGCCCACCAAGGCGACGAUCGGUAGCCGGACUGAGAGGUUGAACGGCCACAUUGGGACUGAGACACGGCCCAGACUCCUACGGGAGGCAGCAGUGGGGAAUAUUGCACAAUGGGGGAAACCCUGAUGCAGCGACGCCGCGUGGAGGAAGAAGGUCUUCGGAUUGUAAACUCCUGUUGUUGAGGAAGAUAAUGACGGUACUCAACAAGGAAGUGACGGCUAACUACGUGCCAGCAGCCGCGGUAAAACGUAGGUCACAAGCGUUGUCCGGAAUUACUGGGUGUAAAGGGAGCGCAGGCGGGAAGACAAGUUGGAAGUGAAAUCCAUGGGCUCAACCCAUGAACUGCUUUCAAAACUGUUUUUCUUGAGUAGUGCAGAGGUAGGCGGAAUUCCCGGUGUAGCGGUGGAAUGCGUAGAUAUCGGGAGGAACACCAGUGGCGAAGGCGGCCUACUGGGCACCAACUGACGCUGAGGCUCGAAAGUGUGGGUAGCAAACAGGAUUAGAUACCCUGGUAGUCCACACUGUAAACGAUGAUUACUAGGUGUUGGAGGAUUGACCCCUUCAGUGCCGCAGUUAACACAAUAAGUAAUCCACCUGGGGAGUACGACCGCAAGGUUGAAACUCAAAGGAAUUGACGGGGGCCCGCACAAGCAGUGGAGUAUGUGGUUUAAUUCGACGCAACGCGAAGAACCUUACCAAGUCUUGACAUCCCUUGACGAUGCUGGAAACAGUAUUUCUCUUCGGAGCAAGGAGACAGGUGGUGCAUGGUUGUCGUCAGCUCGUGUCGUGGGAUGUUGGGUUAAGUCCCGCAACGAGCGCAACCCUUAUGGUCAGUUACUACGCAAGAGGACUCUGGCCAGACUGCCGUUGACAAAACGGAGAAAGGUGGGGAUGACGUCAAAUCAUCAUGCCCUUUAUGACUUGGGCUACACACGUACUACAAUGGCGUUAAACAAAGAGAAGCAAGACCGCGAGGUGGAGCAAAACUCAGAAACAACGUCCCAGUUCGGACUGCAGGCUGCAACUCGCCUGCACGAAGUCGGAAUUGCUAGUAAUCGCAGAUCAGCAUGCUGCGGUGAAUACGUUCCCGGGCCU
rnacentral:rRNA from 1 species